rnacentral:rRNA from 1 species
UACGUAGGGUGCGAGCGUUAAUCGGAAUUACUGGGCGUAAAGCGUGCGCAGGCGGUUGUGUAAGUCAGAUGUGAAAGCCCCGGGCUCAACCUGGGAACUGCAUUUGAGACUGCACGGCUAGAGUGUAGCAGAGGGGGGUAGAAUUCCACGUGUAGCAGUGAAAUGCGUAGAGAUGUGGAGGAAUACCGAUGGCGAAGGCAGCCCCCUGGGUUACUACUGACGCUCAUGCACGAAAGCGUGGGGAGCAAACAGG